ensembl:lncRNA
GUGGGAUCGCUGGGAUGGAUGGGAUCACCGAAUGGUGGGUGGGAUCGCUGGGAUCACUGGAUGGGUGGGGUCACUGAAUGAUGGGUGGGGUCACUGGGAUUGGUGGGGUCACUGAAUGAUGGGUGGGGUCACGGGGAUGGAUGGCAUCAUUGGAUGAUGGAUGGGAUCAUUGGCAUGGAUGGGAUCACUGAAUGCUGGGUGGGAUCACUGGGAUGCAUGGGAUCAUUAGUGGGAUGGGCGGGAUCACCGGUGGUAUCAGUGGGGUCACCGAGGUGGUGGUGCUGGGAUGGAUGGCAUCAUCGGAUGAUGGGGGGGAUCACAGGGAAGGAUGGGAUCAUUGGGAUGGAUGGGAUCACCGAAUGGUUGGUGGGAUCACUGGGAUCACUGGGAUGGGUGGGAUCACUGAACGAUGGGUGGGGUCACUGGGAUGGAUGGCAUCAUUGGGAUGGAUGGGAUCACUGGGAUGGAUGGGAUCGUUGGUGGGAUGGACUGGAUCACUGGUGGCAUCAGUGGGGUCACCGAGGUGGUGGUGCUGGGAUGGAUGGGAUCAUUGGAUGAUGGGUGGGAUCGCUGGGAUGGAUGGGGUCACUGGGAUGGAUGGGAUCACCAAAUGGUGGGUGGGGUCACUGGGAUGGAUGGCAUCAUUGGAUGAUGGAUGGGAUCACUGGGAUGGAUGGGAUCACUGGGAUGGAUGGGAUCACUGAAUGGUGGGUGGGACUGCUGGGAUCACUGGGAUGGGUGGGAUCACUGUAUGAUGCGUGGGGUCACUGGGAUGGAUGGCAUCAUUGGAUGAUGGAUGGGAUCACUGGGAUGGAAGGGAUCAUUGAAUGAUGGGGGGAAUGACUGGGAUUAGUGUUGGGAUGGGUGGGAUCACUGGUGGCAUCAGUGGGGUCACUGAGGUGGUGGUUCUGGGAUGGAUGGGAUCAUUGAAUGAUGGGUGGGAUCGCUGGGAUGGAUGGGAUCACCGGGAUGGAUGGGAUCACCGAAUGGUGGGUGGGAUCGCUGGGACAGAGGCGAUCAUUGAAUGAUGGGUGGGAUUGCGGGGAUGGAUGGGAUCAUUGUAAUGGAUGGGAUCGUUGGGAUGGAUGGGAUCACGGAAUGGUUGGUGGGAUCGCUGGGAUCAUUGGGAUGGGUGGGAUCACUGAACGAUGGGUGGGGUCACUGGGAUGGAUGGCAUCAUUGGGAUGGAUGGGAUCACCGAACGGUUGGUGGGAUCGCUGGGAUCACUGGGAUGGGUGGGAUCACUGAACGAUGGGUGGGGUCACUGGGAUGGAUGGGAUCAUUGGUUGAUGGGUGGGAACGCUUGGAUGGUUGGGAUCAUUGGUGUGAUGGGUGGGCUCGCUGGUGGCAUCAGUGGGGUCACUGAGGUGGUGGUGCUGAGAUGGAUGGGAUCAUUGAAUGAUAGGUGGGUCACUGGGAUGGAUGGGAUCACCGAAUGGUGGGUGGGAUUGCUGGGAUCACUGGGAUGGGUGGGAUCACUGGGAUGGGUGGGAUCAUUGGGAUGGAUUGGAACAUUGAAUGGUGGGUGGGACUGCUGGGAUCACUGGGAUGGGUGGGGUCACUGAACGAUGGGUGGGGUCACUGGAAUGGACAGCAUCAUUGGAUGAUGGGUGGGAUCGCUGGGAUGGAUGGGAUCACCGAAUGGUGGGUGGGAUCGCUGGGACGGAGGCGAUCAUUGAAUGAUGGGUGGGAUCACUGGGAUGGAUGGGAUCAUUCUAAUGGAUGGGAUCGUUGGGAUGGAUGGGAUCACGGAAUGGUUUGUGGGAUCGCUGGGAUCACUGGGAUGGGUGGGGUCACUGAACGAUGGGUGGGGUCACUGGGAUGGACGGCAUCAUUGGAUGAUGGGUGGGAUCGCUGGGAUCGAUGGCGCCACGGGGAUGGAUGGGAUCACUGGAUGAUGGAUGGGAUCACUGGGAUGGAGGGGAUCAUUGGAUGGUGGAUGGGAUCACUGGGAUGGAGGGGAUCAUUGGUGGGAUGGGUGGGAUCGCGGGGAUGGAUGGGAUCACCGAAUGGUGGGUGGGAUCGCUGGGAUCACUGGGAUGGGUGGGAUCACUGAACGAUGGGUGGGGUCACUGGGAUGGAUGGGAUCAUUGGUUGAUGGGUGGGAUCGCUUGGAUGGUUGGGAUCAUUGGUGUGAUGGGUGGGCUCGCUGGUGGCAUCAGUGGGGUCACUGAGGUGGUGGUGCUGAGAUGGAUGGGAUCAUUGAAUGAUAGGUGGGUCACUGGGAUGGAUGGGAUCACCGAAUGGUGGGUGGGAUUGCUGGGAUCACUGGGAUGGAUGGCAUCAUUGGGAUGGAUGGGAUCACCGAAUGGUGGGUGGGAUCGCUGGGAUCACUGGGAUGGAUGGGAUCACUGAAUGAUGGGUGGGGUCACUGGGAUGGAUGGCAUCAAUGGAUGAUGGGGGGGAUCACAGGGAUGGAUGGGAUCAUUGGAUGAUGGG